rnacentral:rRNA from 1 species
AAGGAUGAGUGGAGCUUGCUCCCCUGAUUCAGUAGCGGACGGGUGAGUAAUGCCUAGGAAUCUGCCUGGUAGUGGGCGACAACGUUACGAAAGGAACGCUAAUACCGCAUACGUCCUACGGGAGAAAGCAGGGGACCUUCGGCCCUUGCGCUAUCUCAUGACGCCUAGGUCGGAUUAGCUAGUUGGUGAGGUAAAGGCUCACCAAGGCGACGAUGCGUAACUGGUCUGAG